rnacentral:rRNA from 1 species
AAACUAGAUACAAGCGAGCGGCGGACGGGUGAGUAACACGUGGGUAACCUGCCCAAGAGACUGGGAUAACACCUGGAAACAGAUGCUAAUACCGGAUAACAACACUAGACGCAUGUCUAGAGUUUGAAAGAUGGUUCUGCUAUCACUCUUGGAUGGACCUGCGGUGCAUUAGCUAGUUGGUAAGGUAACGGCUUACCAAGGCAAUGAUGCAUAGCCGAGUUGAGAGACUGAUCGGCCACAUUGGGACUGAGACACGGCCCAAACUCCUACGGGAGGCAGCAGUAGGGAAUCUUCCACAAUGGACGAAAGUCUGAUGGAGCAACGCCGCGUGAGUGAAGAAGGGUUUCGGCUCGUAAAGCUCUGUUGGUAGUGAAGAAAGAUAGAGGUAGUAACUGGCCUUUAUUUGACGGUAAUUACUUAGAAAGUCACGGCUAACUACGUGCCAGCAGCCGCGGUAAUACGUAGGUGGCAAGCGUUGUCCGGAUUUAUUGGGCGUAAAGCGAGUGCAGGCGGUUCAAUAAGUCUGAUGUGAAAGCCUUCGGCUCAACCGGAGAAUUGCAUCAGAAACUGUUGAACUUGAGUGCAGAAGAGGAGAGUGGAACUCCAUGUGUAGCGGUGGAAUGCGUAGAUAUAUGGAAGAACACCAGUGGCGAAGGCGGCUCUCUGGUCUGCAACUGACGCUGAGGCUCGAAAGCAUGGGUAGCGAACAGGAUUAGAUACCCUGGUAGUCCAUGCCGUAAACGAUGAGUGCUAAGUGUUGGGAGGUUUCCGCCUCUCAGUGCUGCAGCUAACGCAUUAAGCACUCCGCCUGGGGAGUACGACCGCAAGGUUGAAACUCAAAGGAAUUGACGGGGGCCCGCACAAGCGGUGGAGCAUGUGGUUUAAUUCGAAGCAACGCGAAGAACCUUACCAGGUCUUGACAUCCAGUGCAAACCUAAGAGAUUAGGUGUUCCCUUCGGGGACGCUGAGACAGGUGGUGCAUGGCUGUCGUCAGCUCGUGUCGUGAGAUGUUGGGUUAAGUCCCGCAACGAGCGCAACCCUUGUCAUUAGUUGCCAUCAUUAAGUUGGGCACUCUAAUGAGACUGCCGGUGACAAACCGGAGGAAGGUGGGGAUGACGUCAAGUCAUCAUGCCCCUUAUGACCUGGGCUACACACGUGCUACAAUGGACGGUACAACGAGAAGCGAACCUGCGAAGGCAAGCGGAUCUCUUAAAGCCGUUCUCAGUUCGGACUGUAGGCUGCAACUCGCCUACACGAAGCUGGAAUCGCUAGUAAUCGCGGAUCAGCACGCCGCGGUGAAUA